CCUACGGGAGGCAGCAGUGAGGAAUAUUGGUCAAUGGGCGCGAGCCUGAACCAGCCAAGUCGCGUGAGGGAUGACGGUCCUAUGGAUUGUAAACCUCUUUUGUCGGGGAGCAAACAUGCCUCCUUAGACCCGCGGCGAGAGUACCCGAAGAAAAAGCAUCGGCUAACUCCGUGCCAGCAGCCGCGGUAAUACGGAGGAUGCGAGCGUUAUCCGGAUUUAUUGGGUUUAAAGGGUGCGUAGGCGGAAUGGAAAGUCAGCGGUAAAAUCGAGAGGCUCAACCUCUUUCCGCCGUUGAAACUGGCGGUCUUGAGUGGGCGAGAAGUAUGCGGAAUGCGUGGUGUAGCGGUGAAAUGCAUAGAUAUCACGCAGAACUCCGAUUGCGAAGGCAGCAUACCGGCGCCCGACUGACGCUGAGGCACGAAAGCGUGGGUAUCGAACAGGAUUAGAUACCCGGGUAGUC
rnacentral:rRNA from 1 species